AACAUUUGUCUUAGGAGCCUUGAAUCUUAACAUCAACCACCGGUUUGGGAUGUACUGCUGCGAGAUCACCGGCGUGGAUGCCAAGAUGAAAGAUGGAGUCUUGAAGGUUCUCAUUACCCCUCGUCCCAACACCACCACCAACGAGUUGAAAUCGUUGAAAACGUUGUGACUAUGAUGGAGGUUGAAGAAGAGAGUGAAAAGGAAGUGUCUUUAGAUGAUGUUAAUCUGCAAAAUGGGAGCUUUAUGGUGGUGGAUGAUGAUUCUCAAGCUGAUAAGAGAAGUUCACUCCAUGUGACUGAUGUCUGCAGUUUUGAAGCAUAUAGAAAGGCAUUCAAGAGUGCUGAGAACCGGAGUUUUAAACUGAAAGCCAGAGGCUUUGGUGAUGCUUUGAAAGAAAGGUGUUGUGGUUUGUUGUGAAGCUUGCAUUCUGUUUUCAUACCAGAUGAAGACCUAGUUGAGGUUUCACUAUCUUUCUUGUUUCUUUAUAGUUUGUGGCUUUAGUUUGUAAGUUUACGGAUGCAUAUGGAGAGAGAGGUCUUGAAUAAGAUUUCGGUUUGGCUUCUGUGAUAACUUGUUCAGUGGCGGCUUUGGCCGCUGGCUCUGAGUUUACUUGUGCAGUGGCCGCUUUGAUUGCUGGCUCUAGCUCAGGUUCUGGUUCAUCGACGAUGGUGGUUGUAGCUGCUUCUGCUGCUACUGGUGCUGGUGCGGGAAGACCUUUGCUGCUUACUGGUGUGGGAGAUGUUGGAGGCUUCAAGUAUGGGUACUGCAAACAUAGUGAAGAAGAGAAAGAGAGAGAGAGAUACAUCAGAUUAGAAAACACUCAUGUGAUCAAUGGUUGUCUUAACAUAGCUUCUUUGUGUUAAAUAAUGUAAGAGAGGUUUCAGGGGAGUGUAUAAACAUCACCGAUGCAUAUGGAGAUAAUGGUCUUGGAUAAGGUUUCGGUUUGGCUUCUGUUUUUGUUGGUUCUGUGAUUACUUGUUCCGUAGCAGUUUC